CAUCUCUGUCCUGCCGGCCUCCUGCUGCCCUCGGACGCCUUCCCUGUGGCCACAGGCCCCGCACGGCCUGCCUGUCCCCUCCUGCCCCCUCUCCUCUGCCUCGCCCCCAGCACGCCAGGCUUGUCUGUCCCCAGGGCCGGCAGGGGCUGUCCUCUAGGCUGGAGGCUCCGCUUCUCGGUGCCCCUUGGUGCCGUCCACCCUCGCCCUCGGCGCCCACACGCGGCAGGUGCUCAACAACUGGCCAUCGAGACGCCCCCUGGACGUGCAGGCGUGACCUGGCCCCGACCGGGUGGGGACAAGGCGGAAGGAGGCGGGUCGGGCAGGGAGCUCUGGGCCAGGGGAGCUGGCUGGACUCUGUGGGGACCAGGGGACCCACCCCGCGCCCGUCUCUGGGCCCGUCGGGUUUUGUCCUGGGAGAGCUGUGACCCACUGUGGCCUCCCGUUGGCGGGGACAGGUCCAGCUGGGCCUUUCAUCCCACGGCCACCUGGCGUGGACCCGUCAGUGGUCCUGGUGCCCGGCCGAGCUGCUGCUUCCUUCUUGGCGGCACCCUCGGGGCCAGGGCCGUGGCACUGCCCGGGCAUGCCAGCGUGCCAGUCCCAGGUUGUGCAACCGGGCAUGCCCUGGGCCCCUCUGCCAGCUACUGUGGCACAGCCAGCCUGGUGACUACCCACCCUGCCGCAGGGGUGCUCUGGGUCACGCCCUGCCGGGCACCUGGGCCGGGCACCUGGGGCGGCAGGAGCUGGAUCCACCCCGGGCUGUGUGACCCUGGCAGGCCUCCGCCCCUCUCUGAGCUCGAAUGCCUCCUGCACUAAACAGGAGCUUCCCGUGGUGACCAAGCCACGGGGCAGAGGUCCAGCCCAGGGCGGCUCUUCCCCCAUCGGGAUGUGGCCACCUCUGGGGACAUCAUCUGUCAUUAUUGCACAGGGUCUGGAGCUGCUGCUGGUGUCCACACGCCGUGUCCUCCACAGCAGGGUAUUGUCCUCUCACGCAGGGGACCCGGCCCAGCGCCCACAGCUCCGCAGACAGGACGGCCACUCGUACCGCUGAGUAGACUGGCCGCCCGCUGCUGGCCCAAGGCCCUCAGACGUCCUGGUGAUGGGGUGGGGGACGCUGCCCGCCGGGUCCACUCCUACCUCGGGCGGCUUCCUGCCCACCUCCCAGGUGUGUGGACUGAGGCACCCGUGUCCCCCACCUGGAGCCCAGGGCCAGCUCGGCCCACGCUGCGGAGCCCGUCCUGCCCGGGCUGAGUGUCCUCGGUCCUGGGUCCACUGCUCUGGUCUCUCCACCCGGCUGUGGGGUCUGGAGGGCACGGCCAUCCCGCCACCGUGCAGUGGGGUGGCCUAGGCCCCGCGCUUGCCUGGACCCACUGGGAGGCCCAGCCGUCCCCAGCCUGGACCCUAAGUGCCGCGUGGGGACGUGUGCCUGCGGUGGAGACGGACUCACUUCCUCUCCUGAGGGCCAGCGGCACCGUGGCCCGGCAUCGCGCGGCCUGGGGUGAGGGGCCUCGGCUGCAGCUCCGACGCCCGGGAUGCGGAGGUGGCAGCCUCGCCCCCCCACGGGGCUCGGCCUCGGGCAGCACGCAGGCUCCACGGCUGACCCGUCCCAAGCAC
rnacentral:lncRNA from 1 species